AAAAAAGAAAGAAGAGAGAAGAAAAAUCAUUCCAGAAGAGGGAGAACCAAAAAACAAGGGAAGAGGCAAUAUUAUUGCGCGCGUUUUUUUCGUCUUGGUUCUUUUUUUUUUUUUCCUUCCUC
rnacentral:ribozyme from 1 species